AGAGUUUGAUCCUGGCUCAGAACGAACGCUGGCGGCGUGCCUAACACAUGCAAGUCGAGCGCGAAAGUCCCUUCGGGGGCGAGUAGAGCGGCGGACGGGUGAGUAAUACGUGAGAAAUCUACCCCUUAGACUGGGACAACCCGCCGAAAGGUGGGCUAAUACCGGAUGUGGUGCCCGGGUGCGAUCCCCGGGCAUUAAAGGAUGGCUGAGGCUUGCAAGCUAUCGCUAAGGGAUGAGCUCGCGCCUGAUUAGCUAGUUGGUGGGGUAAAGGCCCACCAAGGCGACAAUCAGUAGCCGGCCUGAGAGGGCGUACGGCCACACUGGAACUGAGACACGGUCCAGACUCCUACGGGAGGCAGCAGUGGGGAAUUUUCCACAAUGGGCGAAAGCCUGAUGGAGCAACGCCGCGUGAGUGAUGAAGGCCUUCGGGUUGUAAAACUCUGUCGUGCAAGAACAAAGUCACCGGGUGAACAAUCCGGUGAUCUGAUUGUAUUGCAGGAGGAAGACACGGCUAACUCUGUGCCAGCAGCCGCGGUAAUACAGAGGCGUCAAGCGUUGUCCGGAAUUACUGGGCGUAAAGGGCGUGUAGGCGGGCUUGUAAGUCGGAUGUGAAAUCACUGGGCUUAACCCAGUAACUGCAUCCGAAACUGCUUGUCUUGAGUGCAGAAGAGGAAAGCGGAAUUCCCGGUGUAGCGGUGAAAUGCGUAGAUAUCGGGAGGAACACCAGUGGCGAAGGCGGCUUUCUGGUCUGCAACUGACGCUGAAACGCGAAAGCUAGGGGAGCAAACGGGAUUAGAUACCCCGGUAGUCCUAGCCGUAAACGAU
rnacentral:rRNA from 1 species